AUAGACUCUAAAGCUGAAAAGAAAGGAUAUUUGUCACUUUAAUGCAACCUGGAAACCCUGUCCAGUAAACAAUGCUUGUGACAUGGCAGUACUUUGCCACAAUUGCCAUAUAGAAGUAUUCCCUCUGUUCAAAAGAAAAGGCAACCUAGGAAAGGAUCUCCCUCUGUUCAAAAGAAAAGGCAACCUAGGAAAGGAUCUAGGUUCAUUGUCCUAGAAUAUGUCACAUCCUAUAUUCCUAUCCUAGGUUGCAUUUUUUUUAGACGGAGGGAGUACUGAUUAUGGUUAGCACGCAGAACAUAGAGAUUGAUGGAGGGUUAAAGGUUAUUUUUUCUUGAAAAUAAUGAUUAUAGGUGGAGGAUGAAACGGAGAAGUUUGCUGAAUAAACACACAUGAUUUGAUUUGACUAUAGCUUGGUGCUGGAUUAUGUUACCAACCCUACUUCCAAUUUUUAACAUCACAAAGUAGAACAGAAAUCAAGUUUCCAAGCCGCUUUAACACUCCUCUCUUUGCCCCCUCGCAG
rnacentral:lncRNA from 1 species